UCAGUACAGUGGAGCAGUGCUGUGGAAUAGCCUUCCCGAAAAUAUAAGAAUGCUCCAAUCGUUUGCUCAGUUCCGGAAAGCUGUAAACAAGUAUUAUAAUAGUUUAGAUGAACUCCCACACGGCAAUCUUGUAAACCAGUAGAUCAUAUUCCUUUAUUUAUUUUUGCAUGCUUAAACUUGUAUAUAUUUAUAUACUGAAGAUUCCACCGUGGAUAAAUAAAUUUUUAUUGUAUUGUAUUGUAUUGUAUUGUAUUGUAUUGUAUUGUAUUGUAUUGUAUUGUAUUACCAAGUAAAUAUUCACUGGUCGUACGUUGUCUUCCGCCAGUACAGCCAUGGUAUAUACCAAUGCCUGCAGAAACUAACAACAUUAAACCAAAUACGACAUAAUCCACAGGAUGAAACGUUCUCUCCGGCUCUGCCAUUUUUGGUACUCAACUGCGUGGCCUUUGUAUAUCCAAGCUGAUUAGCGUCUUAUAUAUGUAGUCAGUAAUACGAGACAAGCAAAUAUUGACUGAUGAAUAGGAUUGCUAUGCCGACAGCAAAUAUUAAAUGUUUGAAGUAAUGUGACACCAUUGUUUCGCUUUUUAUUUCAUGACUAUUUUGCGAUGCUGAUCCAUG